rnacentral:rRNA from 1 species
GAAGGUCCGGGCGUUAUCCGGAUUUAUUGGGUUUAAAGGGAGCGUAGGUGGCAUGGUAAGCCAGAAGUGAAAACCCAGGGCUCAACUCUGCGGAUUGCUUUUGGAACUAUCAGGCUGGAGUGCUGGAGGGGUAAGCGGAAUUCCUAGUGUAGCGGUGAAAUGCGUAGAUAUUAGGAGGAACACCGGUGGCGAAGGCGGCUUACUGGACAGAAACUGACACUGAGGCUCGAAAGCGUGGGGAGCAAA